UACGAAGGGGGCUAGCAUUGCUCGGAAUCACUGGGCGUAAAGCGCACGUAGGCGGUCUUUUAAGUCAGGGGUGAAAUCCUGGAGCUCAACUCCAGAACUGCCUUUGAUACUGAGAGGCUUGAGUCCGGGAGAGGUGAGUGGAACUGCGAGUGUAGAGGUGAAAUUCGUAGAUAUUCGCAAGAACACCAGUGGCGAAGGCGGCUCACUGGCCCGGUACUGACGCUGAGGCACGAAAGCGUGGGGAGCAAACAGG
rnacentral:rRNA from 1 species